AUGGGGGAAGAAGCUGAGCCGGCAAUGCGGGAAGAAGUUGAAGAAGAGGCAUCAGAUGAGCCCGCUGAUAAUCUAGGUUCGGCCAUUGCCGAUGCAAAGAGAAACUGCGCAAGUGAUUUGGAGAAGAAGAAGUUGCAGCGCAUGUUAGAGGAUCACAAGAAAUUGUUGUACCCAAAUUGCGAAGCUGACAAGAAAAAGUUGGGCACCACACUGGAAUUGCUGCAAUGGAAGGCAGAGAAUGGUGUAUCUGACAAGGGAUUUGGAAAGUUGCUGGUAAUGAUAAAGAAUAUGCUUCCAAAGGGCAAUGAAUUGCCCGAGAGUACGUACGAAGCAAAGAAGGCUGUCUGCCCUCUAGGGUUAGAGGUGCAGAAGAUACAUGCAUGCCCUAAUAGGGAUGGCAAUGGGUACCCAUUACCCGCGUACCCUGUGGGUAAAAACCCUAUUAGGGUAAGGAUAUGGGACAAAAAAUUACCCAUGGGUACUUAA
rnacentral:rRNA from 1 species